ACUAGUGACAGAGUGAGGGAGGUGGUGACUAGGGACAGUCACCACCUCCCUCACUCUGCCACUAGUCACCCCUUCCCUCACUCUGUCACUGUUCACCCCCUCACUCUAGUGACAGGGGGUGACCAGUGACAGAGGGAGGGGUGACUAGGGACAGAGUGAGGGAGGUGGUGACUAGUGACAGUCACCACCUCCCUCACUCUGUCACUAGUCACCACCUCCCUCCGUCACUGUGUCACCCCCUCCCUCACUGUCACCAGUCAUCCCCUUACUCUGUCACUAGUCACCCCUCCCUCACUCUGCCACUAGUCACCCCUUCCCUCACUCCCUCACUCUGUCACCUGUCACCCCCUCACUCUGUCACUAGUCACCCCCUCACUCUAGUGACAGAGAGAGGGAGGGUGUGACUAGUGACAGUGAGUAAGGGUGUGACCUUAUCCCUCUU